rnacentral:snoRNA from 1 species
GUGCCCUUUUAAGGUUGACACAGUGCCUUAGGAGGCUAACACCGAAGGGUAAAGACAGUCUCCGUAAAAUCCAGAGAUUUUACGAACUCCUCUUUGGAACUCCUCUUUGGAUCCUGGCUGGAGUCACAGCU